rnacentral:tRNA from 1 species
GUCUAGUUAGCUUGGUGGGUAGAACGUGAACGUCUGCCUUGUAAGCACAAGGUCGCGGGUUUGAUUCCCGCACGGGUUG